rnacentral:rRNA from 1 species
UACGGGGGGGGGGCAAGCGUUGUUCGGAAUUACUGGGCGUAAAGGGCGCGUAGGCGGCCUGCUAAGUCGGACGUGAAAUCCCCCGGCUCAACCGGGGGAACUGCGUCCGAUACUGGUGGGCUCGAAUCCGGGAGAGGGAUGUGGAAUUCCAGGUGUAGCGGUGAAAUGCGUAGAUAUCUGGAGGAACACCGAUGGCGAAGGCAGCCCCUGGGAUAACACUGACGCUCAUGCACGAAAGCGUGGGGAGCAAACAGG